UAUUUUUUAAAUGCUAUUUUUUAAUGCAUCAAUUAAAAUCCCCUAAAUUCGGCAAAUUUAUAAUUUAAUCUACCCAUUAAAAUUACUUGAUUUAUGCAAAUAUAAUCAUCACUACAUAGUCCAUAUCUAUCACAUUAUUUUUUAAGGAGAGUGUCAAACAUAAAAUCCUAAUUAUUUUAUAGUUCAAAGAUGAAAGCAAACAAUCAAAGACUCCCUACAUCCAAAAGAGUCAUUAGCCUUUGCAAAUUUAACAACCUUACCGAUAUUGAAGACAUGCUUAUAAAUAAGUAACUAUUACAGUAUCAGUGGUAUCAUUAUUCUACUUUAAAUGCAUUAAUAUAAUUACUUGGCCUAAUUUUUAUUAAUGCUAGGUAUAAUUGGUAUCAUUGUAUAUGCGAGUUCUAUCACCUUGGCCAAAGAUGGAGUGACAUACCUACAAAAUAAUGUACUAAUUGAUAGAAGGUAACAUUUUUUUUACUUAUCACAAUAUUUUUAUUGGAUCUAUUCUUUUUUUUAUUUAAAAUAAUGAUUUCCAUGUACUAUGAAUUAAUUGCAUGGCAGUUAUAUUGACUAUCUCAAGCCAUUUUAUAUUUGGUCUCAAUGCAUUGGACAACCUUAAAGAUUCAACCAGUUACCUUAUUUGUGGAUUAGUUGUCACAAGGAAUUAUGGUAAUUGUAUAUCACUAUUAAUAUUCAUUGUAAAUUUUUUUGUCAAUUGUUGAAAAUAAUUUUUAAAGUUCCCAUUAUUUUAUAUGUCCCUACAUUUUUAUAACAUUAGGUAUAUCUUCAUUACAUUGUGGAAGUGCUACAACUAUAACAUGCAAUCCAAGGUGUUAAAAAGCAACGAGAAUGAUGUGUUGGUAAGGAACUUAUUACAAUAUGUAUCUAAUAAGUUCUUUUAAAUGUUUACAUUUACUUAUCUUUUAAAUUAAGUUGUAACAUGUUUCUUACUGACCGUUUUGUUCGACACAAAGUCAAUUGGAUAAGAAAAAGCACCUUCCCACUAAAUAUGGCACUGAAGAUAUCUAAUACAACGAGAACAACAAUUAAUAAAUUUAUUAACAUGAACCAUGUAUGUCAAGUUUAAUUUACAGCAAUUCCAAUACAAUAUCUUUUUUAUUUUAAUUAUGUUUAUGAUAUUUUAAUAUGUAUAACAAUAUUUAUACUAUUAAUGCAUGAAAUAUGUUGUCGAAUCGUUGGCCGAUUAGUCCAUGUAAACAUCGAUAAUAUCAAAUGGAUUGAUUCGUGUUUUUUUUUGUAAUACAUUAUUAAAUUACGUGGGGCCACAUAAUAUUUGCUACAUGUGCCACAAUAAGAAUUAGCCACCAAAGAAAUGGUAAACAUCGAUAAACUAGUUUUUAACCCGUGCAAAACUAAUAUUUGCUCAUAUGUAUAUAUAGAUAUAAUGUAAUAGCCCUGUUUUUAAGGAUGUUUAUUUAAUACUAAUUAUAAUUAUUAAGUUAAUUAUGUUUUGAAAAUCUUAUUUUAUUUGAGAUGUGGAAUGUGAAUUAUAUUAUCGUGUUUGUAAUAUAUUUAUAUAUUUAAUUAGAUGAAGAUUAUUUCUAUUAUUAUUAUAUUAUAUUUUGGGUUUGUGCAAUUAGUUGAGUGGUAUUUGGCCCAAAUAGAAAAUCAAAGUCGGGCUCUUAUCCCUUGUUGUUGUCGGUUUAAUGAAAUAAAACCCCAAACCCAUUUCAUUUUGUUUCUUAUACCUUCUAUCCCCGUGAAACCGAGAAAACCCCAACCCCAACGAACCUGACCUCCUCUUUCUCGUUCGCCGUCGCCGCACGACUCUUCUGCCUCGCCGGAGCCGCGUCGAACCACCGCAGCCCUGUAGUUGCUGCUACUCCUUUUGCGAAACCCCUGUUUCGUUCGGUUCUGGUGACUCCUCUGUUCUCUUCGUUCGUCCUGUUAUGGAUGUCGUGAGUUGGUGCUGCUGUUGUUGUUCGUUGCUGCUAUUGGUGGUGUUAUUAUUUUGCUACAAUUCUCUAUACUUCUAUUGCUAAUUCAGAGACCCCAAUUUAUGGAUGAGUAUAUUAUAACUAGCUUUGUCUUGUUUUAUUUUGAUCAAUGAUUUCAUGGGUUUUGAAAAGAAAAUCAGAUUAAGAUUUAUAAUUUAUCUUUGUUGUAUUGGUUUUUGUAGAUAGUUUAUUAGUUUCAUAUAAGAAACUUAGUUGUUAGGGAAUUGUUGUUGUUGUAGGUUGUGUUGUUCUAUUGUUGCAGCUAUUAUGUUAUUGUUAUGUUGCUGUAGUAUUAUUGUUGUUGGGUUGCCGUUGUUUAGUUGUUGUUGGGAUUGUUGGUGGUGGUGUUGUAGUUGUGUUGGUUUAUAAAAGAAGAGAUGAUGCUGAAUUAAUUUGGGUAGAGUUAAGUUUAGUUAGUUCAGUUCUACAAUUUAGAAUUAUGAUUUGAAGAUUAUGGAAUUGAGAUGGUUAGUGUAGAUAAUUUCUAUAUUGAGAAUUUGUGAGAAUGGAUAGUAAUUAGUCUUGUUAUUAUUUUGAGGUUAAUGUUGGAGGAUUGUUAUGAAUUUCAAGAGAGUUGAUGGAGUUGUGAAGUUCUCAAAGUUCUUAUUGUCGGAGCUAAGGAAUUGGAUUGCAUUCAGGUUUGAUAUUCAGAGCUCGAAAUUCGAAGUGAAGCAAGAUUAAGGUGUCAUAGUGGCUUAAGGAUUAAGCUUGUAUUUUAGAUAGUCGGUUUGAGAAUAGUUAUUGAUAUUUUCGAUGUAUAAUAUUUGGGAAUUUAUUCGAGAUAUUGGUGUAUUUAAGGUUGUUUUUCCGCUGCGAAGUAAUCUAUUUAAGAGUUAAUUGUUGUU